ensembl:snoRNA
UGCCUGUGAUGACUUGCCAUGCUAAUACCGACAUCUCCCUGGCAGUGCAUGUGGCUCUGCCCUGGGGAGGAAUGAGUUAAACUCACUUCUCAUGGAGACCUGAGGUGC